rnacentral:sRNA from 1 species
CACACAAGCCAUUCGGCAAAUAUUUAAAGAAGAGGGAAUUCAGACAACUUCUUCUGAGUCUUUUGCAUUCCUAGCACUAGAACACUUGGUCUACGCUGACCUACCCUUAUACUCCAACUCAGAGCUUCAACAUGCGUACUUUGACACAAAGUAUGUGAUACUAAGUGUUACAACCAACAUGGUUCACAUAUCAAAAGCAUGGAUCCCUUCAUGCAUAGCAAAACAUUCAUAAGCAUCACUCAUAUCAAUCAACAUAAACAUCAUACAUUCCAACAUAUUCAUACAUAAACAUCAUACAUUCUAACACAUCCAUACAUAAGCCAACUGUGCUUCGAAAUGGUUCAACAUACUUUGUGUCUUCGACACUUGCUACAAUGUGCCUCGACACCUUGCCCUUAUUCUCACCAACCAGGUGAAGAAGGAACUCAUCUUCGUGCCACCAACCAGGUGAUGAAAUGUGAUGAAAGGUGA